rnacentral:rRNA from 1 species
GGUACGGGUUGUGAGAGCAAGAGCCCGGAGAUGGAUUCUGAGACAUGAAUCCAGGCCCUACGGGGCGCAGCAGGCGCGAAAACUUUACAAUGCGGGAAACCGUGAUAAGGGGACACCGAGUGCCAGCAUCAUAUGCUGGCUGUCCAGAUGUGUAAAAUACAUCUGUUAGCAAGGGCCGGGCAAGACCGGUGCCAGCCGCCGCGGUAAUACCGGCUGCUCGAGUGAUGGCCACUAUUACUGGGUUUAAAGCGUCCGUAGCUUGACUGAUAGGUCUCUUGGGAAAUCUUAACGCUUAACGUUAAGGCGUCUAAGAGAUACCGUCAGUCUUGGAACUGGGAGAGGUAAACCGUACUUCGGGGGUAGGAGUGAAAUCUUGUAAUCCUCGAGGGACGACCUAUGGCGAAGGCAGUUUACCAGAACAGCUUCGACAGUGAGGGACGAAAGCUGGGGGAGCAAACGGGAUUAGAUACCCCGGUAGUCCCAGCCGUAAACAAUGUGCGUUAGGUGUAUCGGUAACCACGCGUUACUGAUGCGCCGCAGAGAAAUCGUGAAACGCACCACCUGGGAAGUACGGUCGCAAGGCUGAAACUUAAAGGAAUUGGCGGGGGAG